GGAGUUUGGACCGUGUCUCAGUUCCAAUGUGGGGGACCUUCCUCUCAGAACCCCUACCGAUCGUCGCCACGGUGGGCCGUUACCCCGCCGUCAAGCUAAUCGGACGCAUCCCCAACCCUUAGCGAUAAAUCUUUGCUCCUCUUCAAAUGCUCUCAAAGGAAUACAUAGGGCAUUAAUCCGACUUUCGCCGGGCUGUUCCCUACUAAGGGACAGGUUGGAUACGCGUUACUCACCCGUGCGCCGGUCGCCAUCGGUAUGUGCAAGCACACACCAUGCUGCCCCUCGACUUGCAUGUGUUAAGCCUGUAGCUAGCGUUCAUC
rnacentral:rRNA from 1 species